CUUACACUCCUACGGGGAGGCAGCAGUAGGGAAUCUUCCACAAUGGGCGCAAGCCUGAUGGAGCAACACCGCGUGAGUGAAGAAGGGUUUCGGCUCGUAAAGCUCUGUUGUUAAAGAAGAACACGUAUGAGAGUAACUGUUCAUACGUUGACGGUAUUUAACCAGAAAGUCACGGCUAACUACGUGCCAGCAGCCGCGGUAAUACGUAGGUGGCAAGCGUUAUCCGGAUUAUUGGGCGUAAAGAGAGUGCAGGCGGUUUUCUAAGUCUGAUGUGAAAGCCUUCGGCUUAACCGGAGAAGUGCAUCGGAAACUGGAUAACUUGAGUGCAGAAGAGGGUAGUGGAACUCCAUGUGUAGCGGUGGAAUGCGUAGAUAUAUGGAAGAACACCAGUGGCGAAGGCGGCUACCUGGUCUGCAACUGACGCUGAGACUCGAAAGCAUGGGUAGCGAACAGGAUUAGAUACCCUGGUAG
rnacentral:rRNA from 1 species